UCCCUGGUGGUCCAGUGGCUAAGACUCUGCGCUUCCAAGGCAGAGGGCCUGGGUUCAGUCCCUGGUCAGGAAA
rnacentral:tRNA from 1 species